rnacentral:misc_RNA from 1 species
GGACUACAAGGGUUUCUAAUCCUGUUUGCUCCCCACGCUUUCGUGUCUGAGCGUCAGUAUUAUCCCAGGGGGCUGCCUUCGCCAUCGGUAUUCCUCCACAUAUCUACGCAUUUCACUGCUACACGUGGAAUUCUACCCCCCUCUGACAUACUCUAGCUCGGCAGUUAAAAAUGCAGUUCCAAGGUUGAGCCCUGGGAUUUCACAUCUUUCUUUCCGAACCGCCUACACACGCUUUACGCCCAGUAAUUCCGAUUAACGCUUGCACCCUACGUAUUACCGCGGCUGCUGGCACGUAGUUAGCCGGUGCUUAUUCUGCAGAUACCGUCAGCAGUAUCCCGUAUUAGGGGAUACCUUUUCUUCUCUGCCAAAAGUACUUUACAACCCGAAGGCCUUCAUCAUA